rnacentral:lncRNA from 1 species
UCACUCAAUCUCCUCCCGACGGAAGUGAUAGCUACCUAAACUAAAAGCUUCCAAAACACCAAGGGAAAGUAAUUGAAAUUGCAGUGGCUAGGUGAAAUUAGACUUGAACAUACCUAUUGUGGUCAAUAUUUACUACUCACAAAAAUGAUUAUGGCCGUCUUCUGUCCAAGGAGAAACCAGAGGAAUCAACAACCCCCGAACAGACCCACAACAAUAUAUGGUUAUACACCUUGAAUUAAACAAGUGUUUCCACUAGAGCAAUUCCUGCAAAAUAAAAGAACAACACACUAUGAAUAGGUAGACAAGGAAGCCAAUAGCCAUCUAACUAUAUAAUAAUUGUCACAGCAGAACAUAUUGGAGAGAUUACCUUGGCAGGCAAUAGAUGGUGAUGAUGUUGAGCACCUUGGAUGGUGGGCACCCUCCUUCAGCAGAUU